UAAUGAUCUUUUUUCACUGUUGCUGAGAAUCUUUGGUUUGAAUUAUUGAGGCAGGUUCUUUCAGUAAGUUUGAGAUAUAAUUGCCAUGUAAUAAACUGCACAUGUUUUUAGCAUACACUUUAAGUUUGGACACAUACACAUAUGUGUACAUACACACCAUCAAGAUAAUGAACAUACCUAUCAAACCAGAUGGUUUCCUCAUGCCCUUUUAUAAUUUCUUCUUCUCCUCACCCUUCCCUGCCUGUCACUCUCCUGAUCCACUGAUUUGCUUUCUCUUAGAAUAGACGACUUUAUAUUAUGUACAGUUUUUAUAUAAAUGGAAUCAUAUAGUCUGGCAUCUUUCAGGAUAAUUUUUUCAGAUCCAUUUAUGUUGUAGGGUCCAUUUCACUGCUGAAUAGUAUUCCAUUGCAAGGCAUACCACAAGCUAUUUAUCCAUGUGUUAUUUCUACCUUUUGGCUAUUGCAAUUAAAACUGCCUUGAAUACCCAUAUGCAGAUUAUUCUUUAAACAUGUGCUUCUGUUUCUUUAAAUAGUUAAGAGUGGAAUGAUCAGAUCAUAUGUUAGUGUACGUUUAAGUUUUUAAGAGACUGCUAAACCUUUCUCAAGUAGUUAUGCCAUUUGACAUUUCCAUGAGCAGUAUAUAAGAGUUGCAAUUCUUCUGCAUCCUUGCCAAUUAUUGGUAUGGUCAGUCUUUUUUAUUUUGACCAUUUUAAUAGGUGUGUAGUAGUAUCUCAUGGUUUUAAUUUGCAUUUCCCUAGUGACUAAUGAUGUCUUACAUGGUUUCACGUGCUUACUGGCCUUCUUUAAGCCUUUGGGGAAGAGUCUGUUCAAAUCUUUUGCCUGUUUAUAUUGGCUUUAUUUUUUAUUUAUUUUUAUUUUUUUUUAUAUAGAGACAGGGUUUUACUCUGUCUCCCAGGCUGAAGUGCGUGGCACGAUCAUGUGGUUUUGCAAUAUUUAUUGAAUUUUGAGAGUUUAAAAUUUGUAAUAUAUUUAAUAUUAAACCUAUUAGUGUAUUUGAUAUUAAUACUUUAUAUUUAAUAUAAUGUACAUUUAAAUAUAUAAUAAAACAUUUCAUUUUAACAGAGGUAACAUAAAUACACUUCCCAAUUUAUGGAG
rnacentral:lncRNA from 10 species